ACCAUGGUACCAUCCUCGACAAAUAUCAUGGGACAUCACAACCGUGCAUAAGGUGGGCCAGACCAUGAAGCCGGACGGUGAUAAAAAUCAGGAAAGUUCACUCAUCAGGUGGACCGCGUGCCUACAUCCAAGGUUAACCGUUGGAAAUUAUAAUAAUAAUAAUAAUAAAACCUUCAAAACGAGUGAACGAGCCUGGUUUUAGGGCGCAGUGGGAUAACAACAUAUACGGCUAGGAUGUCCCACACCGUCCAGUAGUUUAACACGUGUGACGCAUCAUAUGUGCGUGGUGCUAGUAUGGAAGAUCCAGACCGUUGGUUAGAUAAGCCAUGCAUGUAGGGGUGGCUAGUAAAUCUCCUAGAUUAAAAAUUAAA